rnacentral:rRNA from 1 species
ACGCUCGACACUUACGGGAGGCAGCAGUUGGGAAUAUUGGACAAUGGAGGAAACUCUGAUCCAGUGACGCCGCGUGAAGGAAGAAGGUCUUCGGAUUGUAAACUUAUUUUGUCAGGGAAGAAAAAUGACUGUACCUGAAGAAAAAGCACCGGCUAACUACGUACCAGCAGCCGCGGUAAUCUGAGCGGGCUGGCAAGGC